UGUACGGAACCUUUAGAGAUAGAGGGUGCUCGAAGAGAGCCGUAACACAGGUGCUGCAUGGCUGUCGUCAGCUCGUGUCGUGAGAUGUUGGGUUAAGUCCCGCAACGAGCGCAACCCUUGUCAUUAGUUGCUACAUUCAGUUGGGCACUCUAAUGAGACUGCCGGUGACAAGCCGGAGGAAGGUGGGGAUGACGUCAAGUCCUCAUGGCCCUUAUAGGUGGGGCUACACACGUCAUACAAUGGCUGGUACAAAGGGUUGCCAACCCGCGAGGGGGAGCCAAUCCCAUAAAGCCAGUCGUAGUCCGGAUCGUAGUCUGCAACUCGACUACGUGAAGUCGGAAUCGCUAGUAAUCGUGGAUCAGAAUGUCACGGUGAAUACGUUCCCGGGUCUU
rnacentral:rRNA from 1 species